AACGAACGCUGGCGGCAUGCCUAACACAUGCAAGUCGAACGAGAUCCUUCGGGGUCUAGUGGCGCACGGGUGCGUAACGCGUGGGAAUCUGCCCUUAGGUUCGGAAUAACAGUUAGAAAUGACUGCUAAUACCGGAUGAUGACGUUAAGUCCAAAGAUUUAUCGUCUGAGGAUGAGCCCGCGUAGGAUUAGCUAGUUGGUGUGGUAAAGGCGCACCAAGGCGACGAUCCUUAGCUGGUCUGAGAGGAUGAUCAGCCACACUGGGACUGAGACACGGCCCAGACUCCUACGGGAGGCAGCAGUGGGGAAUAUUGGACAAUGGGCGCAAGCCUGAUCCAGCAAUGCCGCGUGAGUGAUGAAGGCCUUAGGGUUGUAAAGCUCUUUUACCCGAGAUGAUAAUGACAGUAUCGGGAGAAUAAGCCCCGGCUAACUCCGUG
rnacentral:rRNA from 1 species